GGCAAACCAGAACGCCUCCGCAGGAAGAGCCAUUCACUUCUGUGUGGCUGUAACCUCUGGCUUUCCCAAUCAAGCAGCUAUGGUGCUCUCCUUGCCCAAAUCCAUGAAUCUGCACUCAAGUCUGGGAAGUAACUUUGGCCACAAAAGGAAUUCCAUCUUAUAGAUAGAAGAGGAGAGGUGAUGUGAGCUCCUAUAUAUUAACAUCUCUAUCUGUUCAAGAGCUUCUCCAACUACUUUUUUCUGUUAAGUAAACCUGUCUGUGAGUAAAAUAAACAAGGAGUUGAUUCAAAUUCUGCUGUGUGAGGAGAGAAUCUUCCAGUUUUUGAGGACAAGAGAAACUAAAUUUUAUGGUGAUUUACCCGUAGCAAUUGAAGAUCACCAAGAGAGAAGACUUUUAUUUUUCUGUUUUUGGUGUGUUUUAACUUGUUUUCAUUUAUACUGUUUUGAAGAUGGAUUGGGAGGAGGAGAGUGAAGAAUGAAAAGCUCUAUGUUAGAGGAAUCUAUAUGUGCAGUUUCCUUAUUAACUGUAUGUGUCAUCCUCAGAGAUGCUGCAUGACCUGGUGAAAGAACACGGGCUUUGGAGAUAGAUACUCAUAUAUUUGUACUUAUGCUUGAAUCCCAUCUCGGUUACUUUCUACCUGAGUAUAAUUUAUAGCAUGACAGUUAUUAUCAGGAGCACAAAGGAAGCACUGUUUUCUGUAAAUGAAGAUAAGAACUGUUUUGCAAUAUUAUUGUGAGAACUAAUGAAAUAAUUUUGUAAAAUGCUUAAGAUAGUACCUGUCAUAUAUUUAAUAUUUAUUUAUUAUAUUAAAUUUAUUAUUAAAUAAUAAUAAUAUUUAAUCAUGGCAGUCUGCAAUCAUGACAAAUUCUGAUAAUAAUAGCAUUUAGGAUGGGCAUGGUGGUUUAUGCCUGUAAUCCCAACACCUUGGGAGGCCAAGGAGGGAGGACUGCUUGAGGCUAGGAGUUCAAGACCAGCCUGGGCAACAUAGCAGGGCCCUGUUCCUACAAACAAACAAACAAACGAAUAAUCAAAAAACGUAGCCGGAUGUGCUGGCGUGUGCCUGUAGUCCUAGGCUGAGGCAGGAGGAUCAUUUGAGUCCAGGAGUUCGAGGCUGCAGUGAGCUACGAUCACACCACUGUACUCCAGCCUGGGUGACAGAGUGAGACUCUGUCUCUAAAAGAGAAAGAAAAAGAGAAAGACUAAUAGUUUUUGUUUGUUUGUUUGUUUGUUUGUUUUAACUGGAGUUGGAGGGCUUCUGCCAAAAUUUUCUGUUUCUAACUUUUUUUGGUUUUUUGUUUGUUUUUAUAAAAUAUAUUUUAUUUUUAAAAUAGACAAAGUCUUGUUCUGUUGCCCAUGCUGGCUUGAAAUUCCUGGGUGGGCGUGAUCCCCCUAACUUGGCCUCCCAGAGUACUGGGAUUACAGGUGUGAGCAACUGCACGUGGCCUGUUUCUGACAUUUUUAAAGUUAGUCUUAAUACUGUUUUAUGCUGGUUUUACUUUAAAUAUAUAUAUAUAGAAUAAAAGCAAUUACUUAACAAAUGUCAGUGACAUGCAAAUAUAUAAUUAAUAAAACUUCUUAUAUCUCAGUGGUUGAUGUCAAUAACCAAAUAACCAAGAAUUUGAAUAAUCUCUUCUAGGUAACUGGAAGUGACCUUCACUUACCUGUAAUUUACACAUUCUCACCAGCUCCUCUCCUACUCCCUUCAUCAUGACCACCAAGGAGAGCUAGAGGACCUUAGAGAGGAGGCUCAGAAUAGUACUGCUUUGAUUUUGGCAACAUGCAUAUUGUUUCUUCAGCUAACUCAGCAUGCUUGAGAUCAUUUUAACAGCAUAGUGUUCUCAUGUGGUUUCAGUAGAAAAAGUCCCUAUGUAAAAAUAGCACCUUCUUCCUCAGCAUGUCUGCUCCCUUUAAUGAAAAUAAGGCUUUAGCUUAGACUGAGCCAAUGCAGCUAUCAAGGCGUGAGCUAAAAUCUCAUCUGCUUCAAAUGCUGUUAGCCAAAUUCACUAACAAUGGUGCUUACAGUCAUUGCCAAUAAGAAAGACAAUGUAGUCAGAGUCAUGAACAAUACAGGAUAAUUCAUA
rnacentral:lncRNA from 10 species